GUGCUCAUGUGCAUGCAGAGAAGCAGAAGGAGGGGCUCACUCUACCUCCCCCUCCUCCUGCCUGCCCUCUGGUCUCCCAUCAAUGCCAGUGCACUGGCAGCGCCCAGCCAGAAGCCAGCAGCAAGAGAACCCAGGUGAAGCCAUGGAUUGGUAUGAACCACCCCCACCCCAAGCACACAGCAGGGAAGAAAAGAGAGGAAGGUUUCAAGAGGGAAAUUCACACCCAAGCUGCAGACAACAGAUGCAUGUGAUUAGCUGUGUCAUGGCAUGCAGCAGUGUUUGGAGGACACGCGAGAGCCCGCUAAGGAAUGGUGAGCAGCAGUCACUUCAAGAGACAGACGAGGAAGGCUGAGCUGCCACGGCAGGUGUAACUUGCACAGGAAACAUUUGCACAAGUGGCCAGCGAGCCCCUUAUGCGCCCCAGUACCCCAUUUCUGCAAGGUGAGGAGCGGUGGGGGCGGGCAGCAGGGCACUCUCACCCUUCCCCAGAAACCCAGAUCCCCAUGACAUGGGCCACUUUCACUCCACAUAAGCAGUAUUGAUCCUCCUUGAUUAAAUUUUCCCCUUUUCCAGUAAUACCCUGAAAAUCCAAUUUAUGAACUUGGCUUAAUUGCCAUCUCAGUAGCUGGCUUUGCAAACUCCCUUUAUCCUAACUGUGUUUCCCAGAGAAGGAUAUCGGCAUUUCCAUUUCUGCUCAUUAAAGCUGGUCAGUUUAAAUAUUGUGUUUAUUUCAUCCAAAGUGGCCUCAGGUAAAAGCACAAAAGAAAUUCCUCAGUCUCUGGAGCACGUGAUGCACUUUGAUGCUGUUUUCUGCCCUUGCCAGGGUGCACGGCUGGGUGGAAUCAAACAAACAAACGCCUAUCGAUCCAUCGAGCCAGUGGGUUGGCCCAUACUUGACUAAUGGACCAAGCUCAAUUAGGCUCACAUGGGCCAGCGGCAAAUCAUAGCAGAAUAUUCCACUCCACAGUGGGUUCUCUGGUGUACAGGAAGCCAUAUCUGAGACAGUGAAGGUAGGUAGAGGGUUCUCAGCUCUUGCAGAAGUAAUUUGAAUUGAAUAUGCCAAUGGCACACAGGCAGCAUUGUCUGCAGAUGCAGUGAACAUCAUGGCCAUGGAGGAAACCCUUGGUGAGCUGCGGCUUUGAAGGAAGUUUGGUUAAUGAUGGCCCUAACAGCUCAGGGUCUGUGAUCACUCAGAUAGGUUCACUUGGG
rnacentral:lncRNA from 1 species